AAAUAAGAAACAAUUCUGUAUUUAGUUUCGACCUAAAAUUAUGGUGACUUAGUCACCCUUAUUUU
rnacentral:tRNA from 1 species